rnacentral:misc_RNA from 1 species
GGGAGGGGGCACAUGAGGUUCGCUUCGAUCUGCAUGCGGCCACUCACGAACUCGGUGCAUCCAGGGGCCCAUCAUCGGGCUAGAGGACUUCCUCUCCGACCGCAACAAAACUUCCACGAACUUCAGCGAGCACAUAGCUGCCGCCGAGGUGCUGGCGUCCGAGACUGACAUCUUCGCCGACGACUCCCUUGGCACGUCACACCGUGCGAUUGCGAUACGGGUGGAGCUUCCGAGGCUGCCGCUGCGCCGUGCGGCGGGUGAUUUGAUAGAGCGGGGGUUGGCCUUCUACUCGAAGCUGUUGCGCGAGCCAGCACCGGCCGCAGGCGGUGCUGAUUGGCAGCAGCGACAUUGCACGCAAGCCGCGCCUUAUCCGGAGCCUCGCGAAGCUCGUGCACCGCCAUCUUUGUGUCCGGUGUCGUCGCCCUCACUUUCCUCGUUGCACGUGGCUACCAGGCUCUCAAAGAGUACGAGCCGGACGAGAGGAAGAACGAUGUAUCAACGUGGCCAGCACCCUGUUGUCAAGCUCCUUUAUGGGGCGGGACUGCUCGGCGUCGUCGCAGUCGUGCUCGCAAUAUGCGGCCGAGCUUCUCCGGAUUUUGCCGUAAAGCGGCAUUGAUAUAGUGCUGUCAAUCGACCAUGUCGUCGUUAGACCCCCCCCCGGAUACAGGUCUGCGCUAAAGGGCACGCACACUCCAGGACGGCGCCACGCUCCCGUGUAGGAGCUGGCUUCCCCAUUCAUGCCUCCCGACAUAUACAGCGUCGACGGCGGCUCCACCCCCUCUCGGCACCUUUGGGCAGGGGCACCGACGGUCGGCGUAUACGAGCUCAUUACGUGGGCGCCGUCGGUGGUGACGGUGCCGGCCGCACUCCCCGAGACCGUAACGUACCAGGUCUUCCAGCAUCUUUCCGAGCCGCUGCACCGAAUCGUCAGUACGAACGUACAGCAAGCAACAGGCCGGUGCGGAUGGCGUGUCGCGGUCGCUGCUGCACGCACGAGGCGCCGCUGUGCACGAUCCCGCAAAACAAGGCCGUGUGCCGCGAGUCGAACAAGUUGUGCGGGGCGACAGGAUGAGCGAGUAGAGUCGCUCUUGUCGUAUUGGUGUAUGCGCGUGCGUGCUGCCCAUCAGCAGCGCUGCGCUUUGUGUGUCAUGAGCUUCCAUCUCCACAUGCAUCAUGGGGUGGUGCUAGGGUGGUAGGUUCGGGCUGAGAAGAGAGGCGGUAAAUGCCGAGAGACGAGGUACGCGGUGACAAAUAUGGUGUUCGCGGCUUUCUGGGGAGGGGCAUCGCCACGGCGAACCGCGCUGUCCGCUCACUCGGCUUCUUUGUCCAGUGACUCCUCUCUCCCUUCUCUUUCCUUUUUGCUUGACGGCAUGUCUGCUUUUACAUCUUCUACCAUAAUCGUCGCUCGUUACUCGUUUUUUGUUGUUAUGUUUCUCUUCACCCGUGUCUGCUCGCAGCGUUUCAGAUUGCCAGCAAUGUGCACCCCCCCCUCCCCUUCCGACUGCACACCGCCACACGACUUCAGAG